GUCCACGCCGUAAACGAUGAGAACUAGGUGUUGCGGGUAUUGACCCCUGCAGUGCCGUAGCUAACGCAUUAAGUUCUCCGCCUGGGAAGUACGGUCGCAAGACUAAAACUCAAAGGAAUUGACGGGGCCCGGCACAAGCGGUGGAGCAUGUGGUUUAAUUCGACGCAACGCGCAGAACCUUACCUGGGCUUGACAUCUACGGAACCUUCGUGAAGCGAGGGUGCCUUCGGGUAGCGUAAGACAGGUGCUGCAUGGCUGUCGU
rnacentral:rRNA from 1 species